rnacentral:rRNA from 1 species
AAUUGUUCGCCAAACAACUACGAGUAAUACUUAAAACUUAAAAGACUUGACGGUACUUCACCCCGACCUAGAGGAGCCUGUCUAACAACCGAUAACCCACGAUUAACCCAACCACUUCUUGCCCAACAGUCUAUAUACCGCCGUCGCCAGCUUACCUUGUAAAAGAAAUAAAGUGAGCUAAACAGUAACACACUAAAACGACAGGUCGAGGUGUAACCCAUGAAGAGGCCAAGAUGGGCUACAUUCUCCAACAGAGAAUACGAAUAACACUAUGAAACUGGUGUUUGAAGACGGAUUUAGCAGUAAGAUAAGAACAAAAUACCUAACUGAACACAACGCAAUGAAGUGCGCACACACCGCCCGUCAUCCCUGCCACCACG